GACUGCAGAGUUCAUUUGAUUUGAGCUACAAUACCUCCUGGAUAUUGAUUCACAGAUAGACAAGGGGGUAACAACCACUGAGGCUGCACCUAGACCUAGGCUAGAGUUCAACUAGGCCCUUCAAUGUUGGAGGAACCAGGGAUAUUCUGUGGACAUAAUUCUGGACAGCAGAACCUAGUUUGCUCCAUGCAGAGGAGAAUCAUGCUGUCCUCAGAGGGUUUAUUCUUAAGCAGUUCUCACUGACAUGAGAGACAGUGACCCAGUGUGUUGGCAUGGAGGGAUGGGCAGGAGUGCACCUUGCAGUAGGCAUGUUCUCCUCUAGUACAUGGAGCUGCCUCCACGUCACACACUCUGGCAGCAGAAGUUUUG
rnacentral:lncRNA from 1 species